AACGGAAUCGAGAUAGGUUGAGGGAGAAACCAUUGCCAAAGAUUGUUGAAGGAUUUAAGGAUUUUGGAGAGGUACCACUGUAAAGCGAGAUUAUGGAGGUACAAAAGAGGAGGUACUCUUGCGAGAUGAAGGUGCCUUUGAUGCAAGUUUUAUUGGUAUAUUGGAGAAUGGAAAUAUUAUGUAUAAGAAAGUUGAUGAUUUUAAAAGAAAAGAAAGAAAAAGAUUAUAUGAUAUUGAAGGAGAAUUACACAAGUUAGGUACAUUACAAGAUGAUGAGAGGAUUUAUGGUGUUUAUGAAGAAAAUGGACUAGAAGAUUCAUUGGAAUUGAUUACAUCUAUUGGGUUAGGGGAUAAUGAUAAGAUUGUUGAGAUUCAUUCAAGAGAGGUUUAUACCAUAUUUGAAUAUUUUCAAGCACCAGAAGUCAUUGUAGAGACGAGAUAUAAAACAGCAGAUAAGAAGGUAAAGCCUGUUGGCAGACCAUUACCAGAAGAUUCUAAAGAACAAAUGGAAGAAGCAUC
rnacentral:lncRNA from 1 species